CGCGAUUAGAAUAAAAGGAAGUUCGCUGGGAUUCUAUCCCAGAGGUGCUGGUUCGAAUCCAGCUUGUGAU
rnacentral:tRNA from 1 species